CAUCGAUUGAGGUACCUGCAUGUGAAAACCUGCAGUGGGAUGCAAAAGAUUGAGUUACAAGCCCCAAACCUUGCUACAUUCAAGUUUCACGACUGUCCGAUGCCAAUCCGAUGCCAGUCGUACUCAAUGGAUGCUUGAAUAUAACAGAGGUGACUGUUGCACUUGUAGCAUCGUCUGAUUGUUUUAGUUAUGCCUUCACAGAGCUUCCUAGUGGUAUUCCUCAUGUGCAAAAACUCUCCAUGGAACUUGUUAUGGAGACCAAGAUGCAAGAUUAUACAAAAUGCCCUACCAUGUUCUUAAACCUGAGGCAUCUUGUCUUGACCAUGGAGAUUUUUAGACACUACGAGCAUACUGGUGGUAUACUUCGUCUUGCUUACCUUUUGGAGUUGGCUCCAGUUUUGGAACAACUGGAACUGCACAUGGAGUGGCACGGCAAGGGAGAAAUAGUCUUGUAACUUGAGGAAAUACUGCCACGGAGGCCGCACAAUCAUCUGAAGGCGCUUCACAUUACAGGAGCGUACAGCUACCAGAGUCUGCUUGAUCUAGCACUGUAUAUUGCUCGUAAUGCAACAGCACUGGAGUGCAUGGUCAUUGAUCCAAUGGUGAAAAAUAACUAUGUUCUCAGCCAUCAUGAGGAAGAACAGCAUGCAGUCAAUUGGGGCCGGCAGAUGGCUAAACAACACCUGAAGUGACGGGGGUUUGAUGGCAUCCUUACUAUAUUGUAAUAAUAAUGAUGAGGCAAAAUUUCAGAAUAAUAAGUGUUCUUUUAGCAAAUUUCAGACACAUCAUGAGAAAUGAUAAUGUUACCGUUCAAUAUAGUGCUUGUGGUU